rnacentral:lncRNA from 1 species
UAACAUCAAAACUCGUCAUAUUUAGACAAAAACUUCUCAUUCAAUAUACAAAAAAUUAGAUUAAAAAAAAUGGAAUAAAAAACAUAUAUAAAAUAGUAGCAUAAAAUAAUAUAAAAAACAUUAUAAUAAAACAUAAAAACCAUAUGAAAAGAGAUAUUAGAGAAGAUGAAAAAAACAUAAGAGAUGCAAGAUUAAUAGGAAAUGUGCGAUAAAAAUGUAAUUGGAAGAUAAAACAAUAAUAUAAAAGAUGAAAAAGAAAGAACAUAAGAGAUGACAUAUUAGAGUAGAAAAGGUGAAAUAUA